GCAGAAGCCAAAGGAGCAAGAAACAAAGCAAAACAGGGAGAAACCGAGAAAGAGAGAUGGAGCAGAAGCAGAGCCAAACCCAACCCUCUAAGACCCAAACUGCAACUGUAUUUCCUAAAAAGAGGAGGUUAGUGAAAAGGUUGAUGUUUGAUUCUUUUGUCUCUCUUUUCAGCUCUAAACCCAAAGAAAAGAAGGAGAUUAGCAACAGUCGUAUGAACAAGUAACAAGCAAGCUCAAAAGGAUCAAAUAUAUACCCUUUUAAUUUCUGGAGGUUUCUUGAAAUCAAACACGAGGAAGAAAGAAAAAGAAUAGGAGAAGAAGUGAUUGAUGUAAUAGUAUUAAUUAAAGUCAUUAUACUUAAUUUAGUAUCAAUCAAGUCUCUAUGUUUUGUACUGAUAAAGAAAACGUUGAUUUUCUA